UGCUUCCCACCGCCUCACAUAGGUGAUCUGGCCUUUCAGUUCAAUGAAACGCGCAGCAGAACCCUUUUCAGGAUUGAGGAUCAAAUCCACACGUUACUUCCUUUACUACUGAGCUACAUAUCAGCCUGUGCCACUCAUGUAAAAUUGAUAAGGGAACAGUAAGAAAACCAAUAGGAUUUAACCCUUGUAUCCAAAAGUCAAAAAAGUGUUCAUUUCUUGCUUAAAUGUCAAGAGAGUCACGUACUAAGGAGCUCCUUAAUACUGUGAAACGAAGUUGGGUUCACGGGACUGAUACAUUAGGGAUCAGGUAGGCCAUAUAGAUACUUCUCAGUCUCCCUCUGGAGUGUACUUACUAGUGGCUCAGCUUCAUAAGGAGGUUUAACCAGCCAGAGGUGAUAACUGGGACACAGCACAUGCUGUGUGAUUGUAAGCAUAGUAUUAGACAAAGCCAAUCUAUCCCAGAGUCAAGCAAAUAGAGAACAAAUAUAAACUAAAGGCCCAUGUAAAGCACUGCAAAUACAACAGGAUAUGAACACUAUUGAAGGAUAGCAAUAAAUAGAUAAACCAUCAAUUGCACAGAUGAAAAUAGGUGUUUUAAUAUGCAUGAAGACAUGUGUCUUAUUCAACAGGGAACUUUCGAGGUUGUGGUUUAAAAAGGAAAGACCAAAGCCUGGGCCAGUGAGAUGUCUCAGUUGGUAGAUGUACUGCCAUGAAGACCUGAGUUCAAUCCACAGAACCUAUGUAAUGUUGGAGGCGAAGGGCUGACUCUGUAGAGUUGAAUUGUAACAUACUCAGUGCGCUGCACUAUUCAAGUGUCCAAACAAAGCUCUCUCUGUCUCUCUGUCUCUGUCUCUGUCUCUGUCUCUGUCUGUCUCUCUCUGUCUCUCUCUCUCUCUGUCUCUGUCUCUCUGUCUCUCUGUCUCUCUCUCUCUCAUACACACACACACUCAACACACUAGGCUUAUACAGGUGCUCAAUAAUAAUAAUAAUACAUUUUCAAAGUAAAUACAAUAAAACAAGAUAAUUAGAUGACAACAUCAAAAUUUUAUUGCCCGGGGGUGAUGUUCUUUAAAGAUAUUAGAACAGAAAAACAUAAAAUAAAGAAAUAAAUAUGUGAAAAGAGGACAAAUAAGACGUACUUGCAUAAUUAAAGUGACUAAAAUCAAAUUAGAAUUACAAAACAUAAACAACAGCAAAGUAAAAGCAGACAAAAACUAAAGAUUUGACAGUGCCAUUUUUUACAGCCAUCUUUUAGAAGAGAUAUAAUAAUUAACAAAUGCUAUGAGAAUAUUCAUGUUAAUACAUUUUCACUAGCAUUGGUUUAAAUUAAAGACAGCAUC
rnacentral:lncRNA from 1 species